AAAAAGACAAAUCUUGGAUUUCCGUGUCCAACGUUUAUCUGUCCGUUUUAUAUGAAUUUUUUUUUAUAAUUAAUAAUUUCAUUGUUGUUGGAUGAUAAAACAUGAUUAAUACUUUAUGCGUGACUUGUCUUUUUAACUUUUUUAUAAUUUUUUCAAAUAAGACGGACGGUUAAACGUUGAACACGGAAACCUAGGGUUUGUCUUUUU
rfam:Oryza barthii chromosome 12, whole genome shotgun sequence.